UUGAGCCUUGAUGUGUAGGAUAGGUGGGAGGCUUUGAAGCGUGGACGCCAGUCUGCGUGGAGCCAACCUUGAAAUACCACCCUUUAAUGUUUGAUGUUCUAACGUUGGCCCCUGACCGGGGUUGCGGACAGUGUCUGGUGGGUAGUUUGACUGGGGCGGUCUCCUCCCAAAGCGUAACGGAGGAGCACGAAGGUUAGCUAAUCCUGGUCGGACAUCAGGAGGUUAGUGCAAUGGCAUAAGCUAGCUUGACUGCGAGCGUGACGGCGCGAGCAGGUGCGAAAGCAGGUCAUAGUGAUCCGGUGGUUCUGAAUGGAAGGGCCAUCGCUCAACGGAUAAAAGGUACUCCGGGGAUAACAGGCUGAUACCGCCCAAGAGUUCAUAUCGACGGCGGUGUUUGGCACCUCGAUGUCGGCUCAUCACAUCCUGGGGCUGAAGUAGGUCCCAAGGGUAUGGCUGUUCGCCAUUUAAAGUGGUACGCGAGCUGGGUUUAGAACGUCGUGAGACAGUUCGGUCCCUAUCUGCCGUGGGCGCUGGAGAAUUGAGGGGGGCUGCUCCUAGUACGAGAGGACCGGAGUGGACGCAUCACUGGUGUUCGGGUUGUCAUGCCAAUGGCACUGCCCGGUAGCUAAAUGCGGAAGAGAUAAGUGCUGAAAGCAUCUAAGCACGAAACUUGCCCCG
rnacentral:rRNA from 1 species